AUGAACGCUGGCGGCGUGCCUAAUACAUGCAAGUCGAGCGAACAGACGAGGAGCUUGCUCCUCUGACGUUAGCGGCGGACGGGUGAGUAACACGUGGAUAACCUACCUAUAAGACUGGGAUAACUUCGGGGAACCGGAGCUAAUACCGGAUAAUAUAUUGAACCGCAUGGUUCAAUAGUGAAGGACGGUUUUGCUGUCACUUAUAGAUGGAUCCGCGCCGCAUUAGCUAGUUGGUAAGGUAACGGCUUACCAAGGCAACGAUGCGUAGCCGACCUGAGAGGGUGAUCGGCCACACUGGAACUGAGACACGGUCCAGACUCCUACGGGAGGCAGCAGUAGGGAAUCUUCCGCAAUGGGCGAAAGCCUGACGGAGCAACGCCGCGUGAGUGAUGAAGGUCUUCGGAUCGUAAAACUCUGUUAUUAGGGAAGAACAAAUGUGUAAGUAACUAUGCACGUCUUGACGGUACCUAAUCAGAAAGCCACGGCUAACUACGUG
rnacentral:rRNA from 1 species